rnacentral:rRNA from 1 species
GAUAUGUUCUUGAAACUUAAAAAAUUUGGCGGUAUUUUAGNNNNNNCAGAGGAACCUGUUUUUUAAUCGAUAAUCCACGAUGGACCUAACUUAAUUUUGUUUUUCAGUUUAUAUACCGUCGUUAUUUGAAUAUUUUAUAAGAAUAAUAAUUUUCAAUAUUUAAUAAAAUAUAAAAUGUCAGAUCAAGGUGUAGCUUAUAAUUAAGUAAUAAUGGGUUACAAUAAAUUUAUUUAUGCGAAUUUAUUAUUGAAAAAUAAUAUUGAAGAUGGAUUUGAAAGUAAAAUUUUAAAGAUUAAAAAAUUGAUU